GCAUAUCAAUAAGCGGAGGAAAAGAAACCAACAGGGAUUGCCCUCAGUAACGGCGAGUGAAGCGGCAACAGCUCAAAUUUGAAAUCUGGCUCUCGGGCCCGAGUUGUAAUUUGUAGAGGAUGCUUUUGGUGAGGUGCCUUCCGAGUUCCCUGGAACGGGACGCCAUAGAGGGUGAGAGCCCCGUCUGGUUGGACACCGAUCCUCUGUAAAGCUCCUUCGACGAGUCGAGUAGUUUGGGAAUGCUGCUCUAAAUGGGAGGUAUAUGUCUUCUAAAGCUAAAUACCGGCCAGAGACCGAUAGCGCACAAGUAGAGUGAUCGAAAGAUGAAAAGAACUUUGAAAAGAGAGUUAAAAAGUACGUGAAAUUGUUGAAAGGGAAGCGCUUGUGACCAGACUUGGGCUUGGUUGAUCAUCCGGGGUUCUCCCCGGUGCACUCUUCCGGCUCAGGCCAGCAUCAGUUUUCCCUGGGGGAAAAAGGCUUCGGGAAUGUGGCUCUCUCCGGGGAGUGUUAUAGCCCGCUGCGUAAUACCCUGGGGCGGACUGAGGUUCGCGCAUUCGCAAGGAUGCUGGCGUAAUGGUCAUCAGCGACCCGUCUUGAAACACGGACCAAGGAGUCGUCUUCGUAUGCGAGUGUUCGGGUGUCAAACCCCUACGCGAAAUGAAAGUGAACGCAGGUGAGAGCUUCGGCGCAUCAUCGACCGAUCCUGAUGUUAUCGGAUGGAUUUGAGUAAGAGCAUACGGGGCCGGACCCGAAAGAAGGUGAACUAUGCCUGUAUAGGGUGAAGCCAGAGGAAACUCUGGUGGAGGCUCGCAGCGGUUCUGACGUGCAAAUCGAUCGUCAAACAUGGGCAUGGGGGCGAAAGACUAAUCGAACCUUCUAGUAGCUGGUUUCCGCCGAA
rnacentral:rRNA from 2 species